rnacentral:rRNA from 1 species
GAUGAACGCUGGCGGCGUGCCUAAUACAUGCAAGUCGAGCGAACAGACGAGGAGCUUGCUCCUCUGACGUUAGCGGCGGACGGGUGAGUAACACGUGGAUAACCUACCUAUAAGACUGGGAUAACUUCGGGAAACCGGAGCUAAUACCGGAUAAUAUAUUGAACCGCAUGGUUCAAUAGUGAAAGACGGUUUUGCUGUCACUUAUAGAUGGAUCCGCGCCGCAUUAGCUAGUUGGUAAGGUAACGGCUUACCAAGGCAACGAUGCGUAGCCGACCUGAGAGGGUGAUCGGCCACACUGGAACGGAGACACGGUCCAGACUCCUACGGGAGGCAGCAGUAGGGAAUCUUCCGCAAUGGGCGAAAGCUUGACGGAGCAACGCCGCGUGAGUGACGAAGGUCUUCGGAUCGUAAAACUCUGUUAUUAGGGAAGAACAAAUGUGUAAGUAACUAUGCACGUCUUGACGGUACCUAAUCAGAAAGCCACGGCUAACUACGUG